AUACAUCUAAAAAGUUUUUGAAACACUCACCCUAUUUUUUGAUCACGCUUUGCCAAUCACUUUCUGCAGGGAAGAAGGGUUGCUGACAGCCAACAUUUCCCCAGGACAUUUGCUCUUCAUACAAAUGCCACAAGACAGCUGGUGGUUUCCAGUGCUUGCCGUGAAAGAGCCCCAAUAUGUACACCCCCCAGUAAGAUGAACCCCAAUUCCAUGGAGAGAGAAAAAGUGAGACAGCUUCUUCAUCCUUCAUGGUGCAUCAACACAUAAUAUUCUUAGUGUGAGGGCAGUUGAAGGUCACAUCACAAACCAGAUGUGUAUGAUGAAGAUGGAGUUCUUCCCAGAUUCAGGGCAUAGUUAGGGAAACAAGUGUUUAGUUUGUUGAUUUCAGAAGUCCUGAUUUGUCAAAGCCAAUCAUAGCCUUGUAAUAAUAAAGGGGAAAAACUGCUUGAGAUU
rnacentral:lncRNA from 1 species